AAACCAGCUCACACUCCUUCAGGGCUUGCCCAAGUCUUUGUUGUGUUUCACAGAGGCCCUGUGUCCUGAAAUGAAGGGCAAAUAGCCCAAAGAUACUGGGACAGCAGUCCUUUCGCCUCUGCUGCUAGGCUGGGUCUGACCGACUCGCUGAAAGAUGCUGAAAUUGGUCACACCGCCUCGAGUCCCAAGGCCCGGACAGAUGUGUUCUAUACACUUGUUUAAACACGGCGCUCAUUAGGAAGUAAGGCAUGUAAAGCAAGUUGAUUACACCACAAAGCAGGCCGCUUUAUCACGGGGGCCUCUCCGGAGGCGGCGGGAGGGGCUGUCAGCUGCCACUGUCACUCUUCUGCCCCUCGGAUCCUGAGUGACAGCCAGGCCCGCCACCUCCUCAGCUGCCUGCUCGGAACUACACAGCUUCCCGUCAGAGUGCCGCCGAGCUGCCUGGGAGGAGACCCAGUUACUCACAGUUAACCAUGUUCUGAAAACAUUCAGUGGAAAACUUCAGAAGAGCUAAGAAGUUAAGCAACAGAGCAGACUGCCACAACUGCUCUAUUUUGUUAUUGCUUAUUGGUGCCAAUCCCUUGCUGUGCCCAACUUUAUCCUACAUACAUGCUUCGGACAAAGCGCUGCCAUGGUAUUGGGUGUCUGUUGGGGUCCUGUCUGGAUAAGAGGGCAUACUGCAUUUGCUUGUAAUGAAAAUGGGUUUUCUCCUGGUGACUUGCCUACUGUUGGGUUAUCUGAGACUCCAUGACAAUGUUCUGAGGAUGAAAAGAAGGCAGUUCACUCUGUGCUGAAGAUCUUUUGCGACACCCUUUUCUGUGAGUUGCCCCAGUGACUCAGACUGUGUUCCUAGACACUUUGGAAAGAAGAAUGUCCUUUCUCCCACUAAAGCCUCCUUAGCCUUGAUAUCUGUGGCCCAGUGAGGGUAAUGAUGCUUUCCUUGGAAAGGGGUCUAAGUGAACUUCCAUCUGAGCAUGCUUGUGUGCCCUUCCCCAGGAUCUGUGAGUCAUCACCUUUUGCUUCAGCCCAGACGACAUAAUCGUCUGCCCAAGAACCCACAAUGGUUUGUCCUUGGACAAUUUGAAGGAUGUGAUUCUGCCUUGAGGGCACAUUUUGGGGAGGUGGAACCUCCAUUUAUUUGUCUCCACGAUUGUUUCCUCUGUGCUUUGUGGCUGCCUGUCCCCUGCCUUCUCAUCCGCUCCUGUGACUGUUAAUAACCUGCACACGGGUAAGGAAUUCUGCAUCGUGUGUGUGCGCAUGUGUAAUGCGUCCAGCAAAUGUUCUUAAUGAUGCAUUCAGAGUGCCACUCCCCCAAGGCCCAGCUUCCAUUUCAUCCAAAUCCAUUCAUUUUGCCAUACAGACCUUGGGGAUGAAAAUUCCUGACUCUUGUGAAAAGCAAAAACACCUUCUGAACACAUGCACAAACACACACACACACACACACACACACACACACACACACACACACACACGAGAGUCUAAAUUCCCCAAGUUUUCAUUCCCUUCAUGGUUGAGCUUCAAUGACUCAAGUCAUUUGCAGGCAAUCUAUUUAGUUGGCUGGUCCUGCUGACUUCCAGGAGGUCAGCCCUUCUGAUUUUGCUCCUUCAGGGGCAGCAUGUGGCCCCAGCUGGCUAUGUGAUGAUGGGAAUGGGAGCAGAGGGGUUGCGUUGUCUGGAAGCCACGUUGGGAGUUUGCAGGGUGCCGUGCGCCCUGUAGAGAUGGAGGUUUUCAGGGAGAGAUUUGGUUUGGGGUUUGCUGAUGGGAGGUGGGAUUGAUAUGAUUACAUAUACAUUACUGGGAGCAAUAUCUAGCGAUUAGAUGUUAUCUUCCAGGUGUUUAAAAGAAACCUUUAAUAUUUUAAGCUGCUUGGAGACCUCUCGGCACUUUAUUAAAAUAGCUACAAUUGAGCAUGCCAGUUGGUGGCGGUGCUUUCUCUGGAUUUUCUUGCCAGCUCAGGGCCCUGGAACCCAGGGUACCUCUGAAAGGACUCAGAAGCAUUUAUUGUGCUGGCUUCUGCCUGGGAACAAUUGGGGCAGCCACCCAUUGAAUGGGUGGUAGUGGGCUGGCCAGGCACUUCUGGCCCCUGUCAAUCCUUCUCCCAAGCUCUGUGACUUCUUGAACCACUUGAUUGAAUCCCUCAGAAGUUCCCGCCUCCGAAUCUUACACAAUUGCCUGUUCUCUCUUUAUUAGGCGCUUUGAGGGACAUCGUGGUCUACACCUGCCUUUGAAGGGGCCCCCACCACGGUUUUAAUGACCUCCAUUUGUCAAAGGAAAAGUUCAGAGUUCAUUCUUUUGUCCGAGCCCUGGCAACUGAAGCGUCGAGGGUACUGGCUGGUCAGUGAUCUUUAUGUCACUGGCUUGAAAUCUUUCCCAGUGACCCCGCUCAUGUCAAAACAGCUAGCUGGCCACUCUGGCCAUUGUCAUCAGAAUAAGGGCUAAGUGAUGCUGCUUGGUCAUUACGUGUGCCCUGAUUGCCAAUCAGGGCACAAUAGGAGGUCAUUAAAGGCCAUAAAAGUGCCAAAACUGAGAAAGAAGACUUUGAAUGGAGCCAGAGGGCCCUGGGAGCUCUGGCUAGCCUGGCGGCCUCCAGAAGGGGGACAUGAGCAAUCUUGGAGGGGAAACAUCAACUUGAUGGGGUUAAGAAGUUUUUCUUCCUUGGAUACUUUGAAUAAAUAUGUCCCAAGCUACUUUCACAGCCAGUCCUUCCUUUCUCAGAUGAUACUAGGGUCAGAAACCAAGCAAUAUUGCAUGGGAGGACAGCCUAGGGUUCCAGUUUCCAGAAGGAUUCUGAUACCGUCUGGGCCAACCGGAAGUCAGUCCUGUCACUCAAUUGCAGUCAACACAUACCUAGGUGCAUACACAGCUCUCUGCAGGGCCAGAGGUGGCUUUCUCAGAACACUUACUCCAUACCAGGCUUUGCUGUGUUCUGAAUGCUUCUCGGGUGUUAACUCAGAUAAGCCCUACACUAAGCCUCGUAGGCAACAGAAGUCCUGGGUCUCUUCCCCCGGCAUUGCCUAUCUCAGAGAGGCGCUUCAGAGGGUCAUGGGAGUCUCUUCUCUUGUGUAAACACUGGAAGUUAUGUUUUAUUAGGAUACACUCGAUCUCUAGCCUCAAGUUGGAUCCUGGGGUCCACACUGCCCCCAUCCUCGCUUGAUCAUCCCAAAGUUGAACACAGAGAACUGGGGUGUGGACAUUGGCCAGUUCCGAGGUGCCAGUGCCUGCAUGGCACUGUAUAGCUUCACGCCUGUCGCUGCCAGCUCCACUGACUGGGCUGCCAUUCACUGUGUAGGAUAUCAGAGAGUCUAGACCCUUCCUUUCUGUGUCCCUUUGGGCCAAUCACUUCACCUCUCUGUGAGGGAGCUUUUGUCACUGGAUCUUGCCAAGGGUGGGUGGUCACCGAACUCAUGUAGAACUUCUCAAUGGGCUCUCCUUCUCUGACUUAGACUAUGGAUAGAGGGCAUACAAUGGUCCUCUUGGAGGUAAUCUUCUAUUGCAAGGCAAGUCAUUUUGAAACCUUGGUUUCUGAUUUCACAGAAACUAAAGUCCCUGUAAAUUUCUAGAGGCAGGAAGACUUGGGGGAAAUGUGAGGUUUGUUCUGCGUGUCUUUGAGCUCCGUGCAUCUCACAGGGGUGUGUGCCCUUCUCCUCUACCUAUCGGGAAGCUCAAGGAUUGGGUGUAGAAUUCUCCCAGACAACUCCAUACAAGGGCAACUUUCAGCCCUUUGAGAGUUACCUUUUUCUUAAUAAGCAGCCUUCUGACCCCAGAAAUCAGCUGGGAGUGAGUGGUAUGGGCACCAGAGGAAGGGGUUCUAUCCUCAGACUGUUGGGGGUUUCCAGAACUGUGUUGGCAAGCUGCAUAUGGAGCCAACAAAAAAGGCCCUGGACUCCAAAGAGGGAAAGCUCCUCGAGGACCAGCUCUGGUAGCCCUCUCAGAGAUUCUGUGUCCCACGAGACGGGGCUGUCCGGAGCACUUAAUGUCUGGGAGGAGGAGGUGCAGGGAGGAAAAUUAGUGCAGAUGCCUGGAACAGAAUGGUCUCACAAUUCCUAGUGUAACCGCCACAGACUGAUUGCCGCUGAGCUCUUAAGGUGAGCAGUGCGCCUCUUCUGUGGGCCUCAGGGAGUCCACUCUGAUGGAGACCGGAGAAAGAGAGGACGGAAAAGGGAGAGAAGGGGAGCAAAGUGCACGCUCAUGGCCUCUUUCCUUAGUUCAAGGUUCUCUUUGAAUGAUUAAUUUGUUCUCCUUCAAAUCAAAAGCUGUUGAGAGCGUCUCAUGGCCAGUCUCUGCACGGGUGAUUUACGGCCCUUUUAAAAACCUGUCUCUUCCCCUCCUGUCUCCAGGUCUUCUCCCCCUCUAUUUUGAAGUCUAUCUCAUUUUAAAGCCCAAGCUGAUCCCAGACUCAAGAUCCUCCCACCUCUGUCUCCCCGCUGCUGAGAUGACAGGCCUGUCCCAGCAAGCCUGCCAUCACCUCCCUCUCUUGGCUUAGAACAGAGCCAGCUUUUCUUCCUCUUUGUUGGAGGGGACGAGGUCUUGAGAAUGGGAGGGCAGGCUUUGCAGAUGGAGUUAGUCCCUGGUUCGGAGACUGACGUCUCUGCAACAUUUGGAAUGUCCAUUCUACCCUUGAUGAUGUAUCCAUAGGAACAUUCUGGAACAACAAGGCACUACGUUAGACUCUUGUACUCUUGCCUGACUUAGGCCAGACUUGCCUCCACAAAUAGAGAUUCCUUGCCUCCGGGAAUUUUCCAAGCACAUUUGUCUCUGUCUAGGAGACAGGUGGGAUCCUGCCAUCAUCUCUGACUUUCAAAUUCCCGGAACCUGACAGUGUUGGAAAUCUUAUCCAUCCUGCAUCCUGUUCCUUGGAAUAGCAGAAAUGAUGCCUGGGACUUGCAGCUGCUGAAGUUUGCAUUAUCCAGUGAUGCCUUUGGGAAGAUGCUGUCAACUUCCAGGUCAGAAAAUUCCCACGUUUGCUGGUGUUCACAGUUAAAGUGCCAGGCAUCUACAUAGUCUGUUGUGGAUAGCCAUGCUCACCAUGUGACCCAGGGCCAUGCCCUCUCUGUGGCUGACCCUUUGUGGUACAAGAUGGUGGAGCUGAACCAUUGUGGGCUUCUUCUAUUGCUAACAUGCCAUUUCAACCAUUCUUUCCUUCAUUUAUUUCAUAUAUGUUUACUAUGAGGCUUAUGCUAUGUAUUGACCUCAUGGAAUCACUGAAUUCAUUUGUGAGUGAGACAGUAGCCUCAGGUCCCACAGCUCAAAGGAAAUCUGAACAAUUGGAAAGGAUACCAUGGAACCUGCAGAAGGAUGAAGGAGGGUCUCGGGGAGAGUUUACAAGAGAUGGAUUUCAUAGCUCAGAGACUGACAACUAUGCCGAGAAGUCUUGGCAGAUGGUACCUGAAGAGCUGAGUGCUCUACCUUCAAUGACGUUUAAGUGUGUUACAGGGACAGCCUGCAAGGCCUGUCCAAGUAGUUCCUUCUCAAGAGGCUGGGGCAGUGGUAUAGGGGGUCCUUCUGUUUAUGUGUUGCUUUCAUUGGUUGAAUAAAGAAACUGCUUUGGCCU